ACGGGUGAGUAACGCGUGGGAAUCUACCCUUGACUACGGAAUAACGCAGGGAAACUUGUGCUAAUACCGUAUGUGUCCUUCGGGAGAAAGAUUUAUCGGUCAAGGAUGAGCCCGCGUUGGAUUAGCUAGUUGGUGGGGUAAAGGCCUACCAAGGCGACGAUCCAUAGCUGGUCUGAGAGGAUGAUCAGCCACAUUGGGACUGAGACACGGCCCAAACUCCUACGGGAGGCAGCAGUGGGGAAUAUUGGACAAUGGGCGCAAGCCUGAUCCAGCCAUGCCGCGUGAGUGAUGAAGGCCCUAGGGUUGUAAAGCUCUUUCACCGGAGAAGAUAAUGACGGUAUCCGGAGAAGAAGCCCCGGCUAACUUCGUGCCAGCAGCCGCGGUAAUACGAAGGGGGCUAGCGUUGUUCGGAAUUACUGGGCGUAGAGCGCACGUAGGCGGAUCGAUCAGUCAGGGGUGAAAUCCCAGGGCUCAACCCUGGAACUGCCUUUGAUACUGUCGAUCUGGAGUAUGGAAGAGGUGAGUGGAAUUCCGAGUGUAGAGGUGAAAUUCGUAGA
rnacentral:rRNA from 1 species